GCAGAGCUGCAGACAAUUUGGCAUGAAUUACUUCAUCCAAGAAGAAUGUGCUCCUUCACAGUGGUCCAGUGGUCUUUGAGGCUGAUCAGGUGCAAACAUCUAAGCUGGAGGAUGAAGCCUCCCUUCCAACUGGAUACCUGGUGCUGGGAGUUGCAGCU